UACGGAGGGGGCUAGCGUUGUUCGGAAUUACUGGGCGUAAAGCGCACGUAGGCGGCUUUGUAAGUUAGAGGUGAAAGCCCGGGGGCUCAACUCCGGAAUUGCCUUUAAGACUGCAUCGCUAGAAUUGUGGAGAGGUAAGUGGAAUUCCGAGUGUAGAGGUGAAAUUCGUAGAUAUUCGGAAGAACACCAGUGGCGAAGGCGACUUACUGGACACAUAUUGACGCUGAGGUGCGAAAGCGUGGGGAGCAAACAGGG
rnacentral:rRNA from 1 species